rnacentral:rRNA from 1 species
UACGUGGGCAGCGAGCGUUGUUCGGAAUUACUGGGCGUAAAGAGUGUGUAGGCGGUGCUCCCAGUCUGUUGUGAAAUCUCCCGGCUUAACUGGGAGGGUGCAGCGGAAACUAGAGUGCUAGAGGGUGGGAGAGGUAAGCGGAAUUCCUGGUGUAGCGGUGAAAUGCGUAGAUAUCAGGAGGAACACCUGUGGUGUAGACAGCUUACUGGACCACUUCUGACGCUGAGACACGAAAGCGUGGGUAGCAAACAGG